ensembl:lincRNA
AUGAUCCAAACACAUCACUGGGCUCAUGAAGGAUGUCAUCACCAGUCUGCACGGUGGAAGAUGGAAAGAGAAAACCAUAUGAAAAAAAGACACAAAUUUCUAAAAAAGCAUCCUGUCUUUGAAGAGUGGCAAAUACUAUUCUGUUUUUGA